UACAGAGGUGGCAAGCGUUGAUCGGAAUUACUGGGCGUAAAGGGCGCGUAGGCGGCCAUCUAAGUCAGACGUGAAAUCCCCCGGCUUAACCUGGGAACUGCGUCUGAUACUGGAAGGCUUGAGUAUGGGAGAGGGAUGUAGAAUUCCAGGUGUAGCGGUGAAAUGCGUAGAUAUCUGGAGGAAUACCGGUGGCGAAGGCGGCAUCCUGGACCAUUACUGACGCUGAGGCGCGAAAGCUAGGGGAGCAAACGGG
rnacentral:rRNA from 1 species